rnacentral:tRNA from 1 species
GCAUGCGUGGCGGAAUGGCAGACGCGCUAGACUUAGGAUCUAGUAUUUAACGAUGUGGGGGUUCAAGUCCCUUCGCAUGCACCA